rnacentral:rRNA from 1 species
GUGAGGAAUCUUCCACAAUGGGCGAAAGCCUGAUGGAGCAACGCCGCGUGAAGGAUGAAGGUCUUCGGAUUGUAAACUUCUUUUAUGAGUGAAGAAUAUGACGGUAACUCAUGAAUAAGCACCGGCUAACUACGUGCCAGCAGCCGCGGUCAUACGUAGGGUGCAAGCAUUAUCCGGAGUGACUGGGCGUAAAGAGUUGCGUAGGCGGUUAUGUAAGCGAAUAGUGAAACCUGGUGGCUCAACCACACAGACUAUUAUUCGAACUGCAUAACUCGAGAAUGGUAGAGGUAACUGGAAUUUCUUGUGUAGGAGUGAAAUCCGUAGAUAUAAGAAGGAACACCAAUGGCGUAGGCAGGUUACUGGGCCAUUUCUGACGCUAAGGCACGAAAGCGUGGGGAGCGAACCGGAUUAGAUACCCUAGUAGUCC